GAACACUGUUUUUUGUGAUGCAGGUCUUGUACUUGGAAGACCAAGGGAAAGGCUCCUUAAACAAUUCACAAGGCUGAGAGGGAGAAGCUCAAGCGUGAGCAUUUGAACGAGCUCUUCCUUGACUUGGCGAAUGCUCUCGAUCCGAAUCAACCGAACAAUGGGAAGGCCUCUAUUCUGUGCGAAGCAACUCGACUGUUAAAGGACUUAUUCUUCCUAAUCGAGUCCCUCAAAAAGGAAAAUUCUUCUUUGUUAUCCGAAUCUCACUAUGUGAACGUUGAGAAGAAUGAGCUGGAGGAGGAGAAUUCAACCCUAGAAACUCAAAUCCAGGAGCUGCGAAGUGAUAUAGGGAAAAAGGCGGCUCAAUCCGACCGGAGCG